rnacentral:rRNA from 1 species
UACGUAGGUGGCAAGCGUUGUCCGGAUUUACUGGGCGUAAAGAGCGCGCAGGCGGUCGGAUCAGUCGAAUGUGAAAGCCCCCGGCUCAACUGGGGAGGGUCAUUCGAUACUGUCCGACUCGAAGGCAGGAGAGGGAAGCGGAAUUCCCGGUGUAGUGGUGAAAUGCGUAGAUAUCGGGAGGAACACCAGUGGCGAAGGCGGCUUUCUGGCCUGUUCUUGACGCUGAGGCGCGAAAGCUAGGGGAGCGAACAGG